rnacentral:rRNA from 1 species
AACCCGCCAUCGAAUGAGGCAAGACUACCCGCUGAACUUAAGCAUAUCACUAAGCGGAGGAGAAGAAACUAACCAGGAUGCCCCUAGUAAUGGCGAAUGAAGCGGGCUGAGCUCACGCUGCCAAUCUGGAGGCCUCGCGUAUGCAGCGCCCCCCGAAUUGUGGUCUAGAGAGGCGUUAUCGGCCGCGCCCGCCGCUCAAGUCCCUUGGAACAGGGUGUCGGAGAGGGUGAGAAUCCCGUACCGUGGCGGGUUGCGCCCUUACGAUGCGUCCUCGUCGAGUCGGGUUGCUUGGGAUUGCAGCUUGAAUUGGGUGGUAAAUUCCAUCUAAAGCUAAAUACUGGCGAGAGACCGAUAGCGAACAAGUACCGUGAGGGAAAGAUGCAAAGAACUUUGAAAAGAGAGUCAAAGAGUGCUUGAAAUCGGUAGGAGGAAACCCGGAUGGGCCCGGCUUCGGCGCGCCGACUCAGCCUGGGGUUCUCCCCAGGUGCACUUCUGCGCGCCGGGUCAGCCGCGCCUCGGCGCCGCGCCUCAACCCGGGAGCGGGGCUUUACGGCCAGCUCCCGUCCUGGCGCGGCCCGGGGCCCGGCUGACGGAACGGGCCCCUCCGACCCGUCUAGAAACACGGACCAAGGAGUCUGACACGUGUGCGAGUACCCGGGUGGCAAGCCCGCGUGCGGAAUGAAAGUGAAGGGCAUGCCCUGCCAACCGACCUUGACCUGCUGUGAGGGGUUUGAGUGGAGCACACCUGUCGGGACCCGAAAGAUGGUGAACUAUGCCUGGGUAGGGUGAAGCCAGAGGAAACUCUGGUGGAGGCUCGUAGCGAUACUGACGUGCAAAUCGUUCGUCGAAUCUGGGCAUAGGGGCGAAAGACUAAUCGAACCAUCUAGUAGCUGGUUCCCUCCGAAGUUUCCCUCAGGAUAGCUUGAACGCAACGGUUUUGUCAGGUAAAGCGAAUGAUUAGAGGCCUGUGGGCUGAAACAGCUUGCACCUAUUCUCAAACUUUAAAUGGGCAAGAGGCCCGGGAUGCUUGAGUGAUCCCGGGCGGCGAACGGCGCGUUCAAAGUGGGCCAUUUUUGGUAAGCAGAACUGGCGAUGCGGGAUGAACCGAACGCCGCGCUAAGGUACCCAAGUGUCCGCUCAUCAGAUACCACAAAAGGCGUUGGUACCUCCAGACAGCAGGACGGUGGCCAUGGAAGUCGGAACCCGCUAAGGAGUGUGUAACAACUCACCUGCCGAAGGUACUAGCCCUGAAAAUGGAUGGCGCUCAAGCGGACCACCGAUGCGCGGCCGCCGGCGCGAGCGCGAGGCGCCGGCGAGUAGGAGGGCGCGGGGCUCGCGGCGCAGCCUUGGGCGCGAGCCUGGGUGAAGCGGGCCCCGGUGCAGAUCUUGGUGGUAGUAGCAAAUAUUCAAAUGAGAACUUUGAAGACUGAAGUGGAGAAAGGUUCCGUGUGAACAGCAGUUGGACACGGGUGAGCCGACCCUAAGAGACAGGAAAACUCCGCCGAACGCGGCUGGUUCUGUCAGCCCGUCCGUCGAAAGGGAAUCGGGUUAAUAUUCCCGAGCCAGCGCGUGGAUGGUGGGCGGCGACGCGAACGAACCCGGAGACGCCGGCGGGAGCCCUGGGAAGAGUUCUCUUUUCUUCUUAACUGCCUCCUGCCCUGGAAUCGGUUUAGCCGGAGCGAGGGCUACACGGCAGGCAAAGCACCCUAAGUCUUGGGGUGUCCGGCGCGCUCCCGACGGCCCGUGAAAAUCCGGGGGAGCGGUUCGUUCUCACGCCUGGUCGUACUCAUAACCGCAUCAGGUCUCCAAGGUGAACAGCCUCUAGUCGAUAGAGCAAUGUAGGUAAGGGAAGUCGGCAAAAUGGUUCCGCAACCUCGGGAGAAGGAAUGGCUCUGAAGGCUGGGCGCAGGGGUCCUAGGCUCGAGGCCGGCUGGCUGCGCGGGGACUACGGCCUCACGGCUGCGGAUCCCGCGCGGCCGUCCGGCGGACGGCCUAGGAGCGCUCCGGCUCUCCCUGCGCGACGAACAGCCGCUUCAGAACUGGCGCGGACAAGGGGAAUCCGACUGUUUAAUUAAAACAAAGCAUUGCGAUGGCCCGCGAGGGUGCUGACGCAAUGUGAUUUCUGCCCAGUGCUCUGAAUGUCAAAGUGAAGAAAUUCAACCAAGCGCGGGUAAACGGCGGGAGUAACUAUGACUCUCUUAAGGUAGCCAAAUGCCUCGUCAUCCAAUUAGUGACGCGCAUGAAUGGAUUCGUGAGAUUCCCACUGUCCCUAUCUACUGUCUAGCGAAACCACAGCCAAGGGAACGGGCUUGGAAGAAUCAGCGGGGAAAGAAGACCCUGUUGAGCUUGACUCUAGUCUGUUACUGUGGAACGACUUGAUGGGUGUAGAAUAUGCGGGAGGGGCAACCCGACAGUGAAAUACCGCAACCGUCAACGUUGUUUUACUUACUCGGUGGCGCGGAGGGAGGCUCGCCUCACUUCUGGAUCCAAGCCGCUUCGUGCGCGCGAUCCGCGUCGGGGACACUAACAGGUGGGGAGUUUGGCUGGGGCGGCACGUCUGUUAAAAAAUAACGCAGGCGCCCGAUUUUGAGCUCAAUGAGAACAGAAAUCUCAUGUGGACCGAAAGGGGAAAAGCUCGGUUGAUUUUGAUUUUCAGUACGAAUACAAACCGCGAAAGCGUGGCCUAUCGAUCCUCUCGUCUUUGGGAAUUUCAAGCUAGAGGUGUCAGAAAAGUUACCACAGGGAUAACUGGCUUGUGGCUGCCAAGCGUUCAUAGCGACGUAGCUUUUUGAUCCUUCGAUGUCGGCUCUUCCUAUCACUGCCUCGCAGCGGGGGCCAAAUGCAGGAUUGUUCACCCACCAACAGGGAACGUGAGCUGGGUUUAGACCGUCGUGAGACAGGUUAGUUUUACCCUACUGCUGUCUGUUUUUCUACGGUAAUUUGGUUCAGUACGAGAGGAACCACCAAUUCGCAUCAUCGGUAUAGCCGCCGCCGGAAACGGCGAUGCGGCGAAGCUGCCAUGCGCCGGAUUAUAACUGAACGCCUCUAAGUUAGAAUCCAUGCCGGAAGGAAAGCCACCUACCGGCCCGGGGACGCCACGAGCAACGGUAGCACUGCCUGAGCCGCGAGCGACCACAAUUCACGGACCCGGGCCGACGAAUCCCUUGCAGACGACUUG